rnacentral:lncRNA from 1 species
CCAGGGCAGCUACGCUUUGGAAGGGACCACAGGGAUUAUGAAUUUUUAACCCAAAUAAGCAUGCACUAAUGAUGAAAGUCCAGGCAACCAGGCCCCCGAUGCCUCUCAAAAUAACGCUCCUCCUCCUCCUUCUUUUUCUGAUGAUGGUGAUGUUGUCUACAGCCACACCACCCUGAACAUGCCCAAUCUUGUCUGAUUAUGGUGAUGUAGAUCAAAUAUCUGCAAGGCACACCACGGCCUCUAUUGAAAACGCGAAUGAAUGAAACCCUUAGACAGCUCUCACAUCAGUGACAUGUGCCUCCUCCUGCCUUGCACAAAUUGGAGACCCUGGCUGGGAUCUGGACAGCUCUGUCCCUCCGUGGCAUGGCUGGGGAGGGCUGGAGGGCAUACAGGAGCAGGUCACACUGGCCAGGCCAUAUUGUCUGGAGGAGAGGCAAUGCUGCGAGCCAAAGGAACUUGAAGAGGGUAACAAGAAACCUCAUGUCCAGAAGGAGCUGGGGAAGGAUGGGCUGCCGAGAACAAGAAAGAAAGAGACCUCUUCUUACACCUGAAGAUGCUUUGGGCUCUUGUUUUAGCUUCAAGCUGUGGCUCCCAUAGAAGGGGACGGCUUUGCAGCAGCUUCUCCAGGGGGGAUGCUGGAGGCAGUGGUUGCCCUGUGGUGGGCAUAAAAAAGGUCCAAGCAGGGCAGUGUCCGGCUGGUCAGCCCCGUCAUCAAGCCUUCCAGGUUCUUCUGUUACCCCUGAGGCAUCACUGGCUACUCCUGGGUACCCCGAAUCCUGAGGUCUCCCGUGGCAGCCUCUGGCAAGGCCUUCUGCAGUUCCACAUCAAAACGUACCCCAGGGAAUGGGAGUCCUGCUUGGAUAGGCCUAGGUCUGCCUCAAAAGGCAUGUGAGCCCGGCGGCCAGGUGAAUGCACUGCUGCAGCAUGGUCUCCUCGGCUGUAAGGCCACUCACUCUGUCAUGAGCACCCUACAGAGAGGCCCACGUUGCAAGGAAAUGAAGCCUCCAGCCAACAGCCAGUGAGGAGCCAAGGCCUGCCAGCAACCACAUCCGUGAGCUGGGAAGUGGCUCUUCCAGUCCCAUCUGAGUCAAGUGUCAGAUGACCGCAAUCCUGGCCAACAGCCUGACCACAAUCUCACGAGAGACCCUGAGCCAGAACUCCCCAGCUAUAUAGCUUCUGGAUGCUUGACCGUCAUAAACUGUGUGAGAUCAUAAGUGCUUAUUUUAAGCUGCUAAAUUUGGGGAGUAAUUUGUUACACAGCAAGAGAUAACUAAUACAGCUUUGGGUACUUGGAAGUAGGGUGCUGCCAUAGUGAAACUCUGCAAUGUGAGAGUGGCUUUGGUACUGGGCAGUGGGCCGGAGCCAGAAGCAUUCUGGGGUGAUUCUUAGUGAAAACUUCAAAUGCCAUGAAGAGACCACUGGUAGAAAUAUGGACUUUGAGGAGACUGGUGAUGGGGGCUUUAAGGGAGGUGAAAAAUAUAUUAUUGGGAAUUAGAGGAAGGAGGAUUUUUAUUAUGUAGCCCCAAAAUGUUUAGCAACAUUGUCUCCUACAGAUAUGUGAAAAGCAGAAAAUGUACUUAAUGACUUGCAUUAUCUAAGGAAGAAGUUUUUAGCCAGGGUCCUGCAGGGGCUGCCUGGUUUCUUCUUGCUAGGUAAAAUGUGAGAAGAGAGAGACAAGUUAAAAGAAGGGCUGUCACAAUAAAAAAAAAUCCAGGACUUGCUAGUUUUGAAGAGUCCCAGACUGUCCAGAUGGCAAAUGAUGCUAAAAUUAGGAAAUGACUUCUGCGUAAAGAUCAAAUCCAGGCACUCUCAGGAAAGCAUAGUCCAAAGAUGAGGUGGAGGGUGUGGCUAUGAAGUCUUUGUCAAGAUCUUAGAAAGUUCAGCGGUGCUGCCUCAGAGUACUAUUCAGUCAGACCAAAAGCUCUGUAAAGAUUUUAAGAGAUGUUAAAGAUCUUCUCAGUCAAACAACAGAGCUUCUAAGAAGCUUAAGGGCAUUGUCCCUCAGCAGAAGCCCAGCGGAGAGAAGGGAUGGUCUUGAAGAGAUGUGUGGGUGGGCUUUUAUUUGGUGGAACAGACUCAAUAGGAUCACAGAAGACCCAUAAAGUUUUUCAAAGGAUUAUUUCAGUGGAAACACAACAACUUGGACUGGAAGGGAGAGACACAGUACAAAAUAUAAAGAAGCUCUUGGACCUCCCAAAUUCUACCAGCAGGAAGCUAUCUGAGCAACAAAUCAGCUGCAAAGACAUGCUACCUUUCAUAGAAAAGGAAGGAUGACUCAGAGGCAGAACCAAGAGCCCAGAGUAUUCACUGGGCUCAUGACUUGCUGCAAUCUCAUGAAAGACCCUGAAUGCAGAGGGCGGAGACAGCCUUGUAGAAUAAUUCCUGGGCAGGAACAGAACUGAGUUCUAAUCAAGAAACUUCCAAUAUCUGCCUGGCUGGAUUUCAGAACUGCUAUGGACCAACAAUGUCUAUGUGCUUCUUGUUUCCCCUCUUCUUGAAUAAGUGUAUCUAAGGCUGUUACCCUAUGCCUGUCCCACAAUUGUAUGUUGGCUACGUGUGUGUGUGUGUGUGUGUGUGUGUGUGUGUGUGCAGCUAACUUGCCUCCUUAAAUCUCAGGCCUACAGAUCAAGAGUGAACUGUACCUGAGGUGCUGUACUUAAGGAGAUACACCCAAAGAGCGUCAUCUGCAUCUGAACAUGAUCUAGAUGAUGAGACUUUGGACUUGGAGCUGAUGCUAUAAUCAAAUGAGACAUUGGGAGGGGUGAGACUAUUUUGCAUGUGAGUCACUGGGAAUGAGAGGGUGGGUUGUGGUAGUCAGCCUCUAAGAUUGUCCCCAGUGAUCCCCACUUUAUGGAAUUUAUAUCCCUGUAAAGUCCCCUCCCACACUGUACCAAGGUUAGUCUAUGUGACCAACAGAAUAUGGUAGAAUAUGGCAUGUCACUUCCAAGAUUAGGUUACAAAGCAUACUGCAGCUUCGAUCUUGGUGUCUGUCUGUCUGCUUGUCUUCCUGUCUGUCUCUCUUGGAUCAUACUCUGGGACAAGUCAGCUGCUAUGUCAUGAACAGCCCUAUGAAGAGGUCCACCUUGUGACCAACAGCUAAUGAGAAACUGAGAACUGCCAACCACCUUGUGAAGGAGGCUGUUCUCCAACUGCUUGGGCUUUCUCCAGCCCCAGUCAUGCCUUCAGAUGCCUACACCCCUGGCUGACAGUUUGACUACACUCUCAAGGGUGACUUUGAGCUAGGACAACCCUGUUAAACUGCUCCUGGAUUCCUGACCCUUGGAAACUGGGUGACAUAAUAAAUAUUUGUUGUUUUAAAC